rnacentral:rRNA from 1 species
AUUCCGGUUGAUCCUGGCGGACCUUACUGCUAUCGGGAUAAGACUAAGCCAUGUUAGUUGAGCGCUCUUAAGCUAUGUUAAGGGCGCGGCGUACGGCUCAGUAACACGUAAUUAACCUACCCUUAGGAUGAAAAUAACCCCGGGAAACUGGGAUUAAUUAUCAAUAGAUGAUUGUUCCUGGAAUGGUCUAUCAUUGAAAGACUCUAAAAACAUGCUUUUAGAGUUGCCUAAGGAUGGGAUUGCGUCCGAUCAGGUUGUUGGUGGGGUAAAGGCCCACCAAGCCUAUAACCGGUACGGGCCCUGAGAGGGGGAGCCCGGAGAUGGAAACUGAGACAAGGUUCCAGGCCCUACGGGGUGCAUCAGGCGCGAAAUCUCGACAAUGCGCGAAAGCGUGAUCGGGUUAUCCCGAGUGCCAUCCGAUGAGGAAGGCUUCUCCUUGGUUUUAGGAGCCAUGGGAAUAAAGGGGGGGCAAGACUGGUGUCANCCCGCCGCGGUAAUACCACCCCCUGAGUGGUAAGGAUGAUUAUUUGCUUAAAGCCG